rnacentral:rRNA from 1 species
UGUGCAAAUCAAUAUAAAUUGAUUAUAUUUUAUUUACUUAGUUAAUUAAAUUAUUAAAAAUAAUUAUAUAAAUUAAAUUGUUUUAGUAUUGUAUAUAGAAUAAAUAAUAAUAGUUAUAGUAUAUUAGUAUUGUGGAAGAAAAUUGAAAUAUUUUGAAAAAUUAUUAAUAAAAAAGAAAAUUUUAGUUAUUGUACCUUGUGUAUCAGGGUUUAUUAAAUAAAAAAUAUAUAUUUAUAUUUUUCUCGAUUUUAAAAGAGUUAAUAAAAUAAUUUAUAUAAUGUGGUAAAAUUAUUAAACAUAUUUUAUUGGAAAUGAAAUGUUAUUCGUUUUUAAAGGUAUCUAGUUUUUUAAGAAAUAAAUUUAAUUUAGAAAUUUUUAUUAGUAAAUAAUUUAUUGAUAUAAAUUAUUUAUUAGAAAAUUUUAAUAUUUUAUGGGAUAAGCUAUAAAAUAAAGUUUUAUAAAUAAAAUUAAAUAUUUAGUAAAUAUAUGCUUAGAAUUAGCAAUUAUUAAUAAUUAUGUUAUAAUUUAUAUUAUAGAAAAAAUUAUUUAUUUUUGGUUUUAAAUUUUAUAUUAAAAUAAUUAAUUAAAUUUAAGAAUUAAUCAAAUAAUGAUAGAAUUAGUAUAUUUAUUAAAAGUAAAAAUAAAAUUUAUUGAUAAGUUUUAUUAAAGAAUUCGGCAAAUUUAAUGUUCGCUUGUUUAACAAAAACAUGGCUUUUUGAAGUAUAUUUAAAGUCUGACCUGCCCACUGAGAUUUUUUGAAUGGCCGCAGUAUUUUAACUGUGCAAAGGUAGCAUAAUCAUUAGUUUUUUAAUUGGAAGCUGGUAUGAAUGGUUGGACGAAAUAUUAGCUGUUUCAUUAAAAUUUAUAAAUAGAAUUUUAUUUUUUAGUUAAAAAGCUAAAAUAUAGUUAAAAGACGAGAAGACCCUAUAGAUCUUAAUAAUUUAUAUUAAUUUUAACUAUAAAGAUUUUUUAAGUUGUAAUUAUAUAAUUAUUUUAUUGGGGUGAUAUUAAGAUUAAAAAAACUCUUAAAAUAAUUAGAACAUUAAUUUAUGAAUACUUGAUCCAUUAUUAAUGAUUAAUAAUUUAAGUUACCUUAGGGAUAACAGCGUAAUUUUUUUUGAGAGUUCUUAUCGAUAAAAAAUAUUGCGACCUCGAUGUUGGAUUAAGAGAUAAUUUUAGGUGUAGCCGCUUAAAGAUUUAAGUCUGUUCGACUUUUAAAUUCUUACAUGAUCUGAGUUCAAACCGGCGUAAGCCAGGUUGGUUUCUAUCUUUAAUUAGUAAAAAUAUUUUAGUACGAAAGGACCAAAUAUUUAAAAAAUAAUUUUUUUUAGACAUGAAUUAAAAUAAAAGGUUUUAA